rnacentral:lncRNA from 1 species
ACGCAGCGAGCCUGGGCGCCGCCCGCGCUCACCUAUCACCGCGCCCACCACGUCGUUCUUCACCCCGAAGCAGAGCGGCGGUUCGUGGCGGCCGGCGGCCGUAGCCUCGGCGGCACCGGCGGGCUCCCUCCAGCCGCCGCCCGCACCCCUGCUACGGACCCGGCCUCUCCGGUUCGUCUCCUCCGUCGCCUUCCGGUCGGCGCCCCGGGACCCGGUCGAGCUUCGCCGGGGAGCAACGCCCGAGGAGGAAGCGUUGGCUGCGGGUUCCCGCCUAGACAUGGCUCUGAGGAGAGCCGCGCGUCGUACGUCGUUCCAGGCUCAGCUGCACAGGCCGCGGCGUCGCAAGAACUCCGCUGCCGCCCGCGAGCUCGCCCGCCAGUCCUCUGCGCGCUCAUUGGCCGCCGCGCCUCGAGGGCGGGGCCUGGCUGGCCUGACCAAUCGGCGCUUGCAGCCGCGCGGCCCCCUGGACCCCCUACUUGCUCCGCGGGUGUCCGGCUGUGAACAUCAGCUUGAGGACCUUGCGUCUCGGUGCCACAGAAACCAACCAUGCCUCGAAAUUCAGGUUCAUGACGGGCUAAUGGUGCAGGCUUGAGAUCUGGGGCAGGAGGGUCUGCGUGACAAUGUUAGGCUCUAUCUUAAAAUAACUCGAUGAAAGCGCUUGCCUAGCAUAGCUCAGGAAACCCUGUCUACACUCCCCAAUACCUAAAAUUUAAAAAAAAAAAAAAAAUUAGCACUGCCCGAAGUACACCCAGCUUUGCAAGGAUUCUGGAGCUGGACACGGUCCUCCAGGGCUGGCCGAAGCUACUGCAUCCCUUGAUGUGAUUGAGAUCCUGGAAUUGUCUGAAUAGAUCGCAGGUCAACCAUCCAUCUUAGCAUUUUAUUUGUUGUAGGAGACACUGAGGAAAAACUGUAGGGUUGGGUCCAUCCUGGGUUAAAUAAAUUUCAUCAAAUUAUAUUAUAUAAUACUAGGUAUACUAAUAUCCUUGAAGAUAGCCUUAAUUCUCCUGGCUGGGAGAGAGCGCUCAAGUGCUGGGCUUACAGAUGAAUUUCAUGACACACCGAUGUAGCAACAGUAUCUCUUGACACAAUAAUCUCUAGGAGAGAAUGUGAAUAAAACACCAAACUACCAAAGCAUCUUGGAUUUAUACAGAAACAUCGAACAAAAAAAAAAAAAAAAAAAAAAA